UAAGACGAACCGUGCGAACGUUAUUCGGAAUCACUGGGCUUAAAGCGCGUGUAGGCGGGCUGCCACGUCGGGCGCUGAAAUCCCCCGGCUCAACCGGGGAACGGGCACCGAUACGAGCAGCCUGGAGGGGAGUAGGGGGACCUGGAACUUCCGGUGGAGCGGUGAAAUGCGUUGAGAUCGGAAGGAACGCCCGUGGCGAAAGCGAGGUCCUGGGCUCUUACUGACGCUGAGACGCGAAAGCCAGGGGAGCGAACGGGA
rnacentral:rRNA from 1 species